rnacentral:lncRNA from 12 species
AACUCACACCUUCGUGGAAGGCAGGAGACAAACCUGCCAAGUGCUGAGCUACUGCAGGCCGGCUGCAACCCCGCCCUGGUAUUCUCGCCUGCGGCCUGGGGCGGACGCUGCGGAGCGCAGGCUGCCCGGCGGCUGGCUCCUGGUUGGGCUCCGCCAAGAGGGGGCGCUAGAGGGGCUGGAGGAGGAAGGAGCCGCUCGCCCCUUGCCGCUUGCUCCUUGCGGGGCUGCCGGGCUCCUCCCGUGUCUUACGAGCCUCCCGCGCAACCCGCCUCGGCCCAGACGGCUGCACUGCCUCAGCAGCCUCAGCAGCCUCAGCCUCUGACCUGCAUUUUCCCCAACUUGCAGAAUCCUCACCCUCGCUCCAUCUCCGAGACGGCGGCAGCAACCUCGCCUUCCCGCCUCUCCAUCCCGGAGGCACGCAGCGAAGCGGAUCCCCCUCCGAGGCCCAGGCUUCAGCUGCAGGGCGCCCCCUCCAGGUGUCCACGUCGGGCCUUUGGUUCACUCAUCCCUGGGCUUCUGUCUGCGGCCCGCGGUGAAGAAACUAAUGCACAGAAAAUUCUAGCAACAAGCCAGAAAUUAAACAGCUGGAAUAGAAGUUUAUAUAUUUUGGGGCUACUACGCAUUGAUCAUAGUGGGGCUUCACUGUCUUGA